AUUGAACGCUGGCGGCAGGCCUGACACAUGCAAGUCGAGCGAGCGGCGGACGGGUGAGUAAUGUAUGGGGAUCUGCCUGAUGGAGGGGGAUAACUACUGGAAAAGGUCGCUAAUACCGCAUACCAUCAGAUGUACCCAGAUGGGAUUAGCUUGUAGGUGGGGUAACGGCUCACCUAGGCGACGAUCCCUAGCUGGUCUGAGAGGAUGACCAGCCACACUGGAACUGAGACACGGUCCAGACUCCUACGGGAGGCAGCAGUGGGGAAUAUUGCACAAUGGGCGCAAGCCGGAUGCAGCCAUGCCGCGUGUAUGAAGAAGGCCUUCGGGUUGUAAAGUACUUUCAGCGAGGAGGCGUUACUCGCAGAAGAAGCACCGGCUAACUCCGUGCCAGCAGCCGCGGUAAUAC
rnacentral:rRNA from 1 species